rnacentral:rRNA from 2 species
GUAUUGAUUGGUGCUUGCAUCAUGAUUUACAUUUGAGUGAGUGGCGAACUGGUGAGUAACACGUGGGAAACCUGCCCAGAAGCGGGGGAUAACACCUGGAAACAGAUGCUAAUACCGCAUAACAACUUGGACCGCAUGGUCCGAGCUUGAAAGAUGGCUUCGGCUAUCACUUUUGGAUGGUCCCGCGGCGUAUUAGCUAGAUGGUGGGGUAACGGCUCACCAUGGCAAUGAUACGUAGCCGACCUGAGAGGGUAAUCGGCCACAUUGGGACUGAGACACGGCCCAAACUCCUACGGGAGGCAGCAGUAGGGAAUCUUCCACAAUGGACGAAAGUCUGAUGGAGCAACGCCGCGUGAGUGAAGAAGGGUUUCGGCUCGUAAAACUCUGUUGUUAAAGAAGAACAUAUCUGAGAGUAACUGUUCAGGUAUUGACGGUAUUUAACCAGAAAGCCACGGCUAACUACGUGCCAGCAGCCGCGGUAAUACGUAGGUGGCAAGCGUUGUCCGGAUUUAUUGGGCGUAAAGCGAGCGCAGGCGGUUUUUUAAGUCUGAUGUGAAAGCCUUCGGCUCAACCGAAGAAGUGCAUCGGAAACUGGGAAACUUGAGUGCAGAAGAGGACAGUGGAACUCCAUGUGUAGCGGUGAAAUGCGUAGAUAUAUGGAAGAACACCAGUGGCGAAGGCGGCUGUCUGGUCUGUAACUGACGCUGAGGCUCGAAAGUAUGGGUAGCAAACAGGAUUAGAUACCCUGGUAGUCCAUACCGUAAACGAUGAAUGCUAAGUGUUGGAGGGUUUCCGCCCUUCAGUGCUGCAGCUAACGCAUUAAGCAUUCCGCCUGGGGAGUACGGCCGCAAGGCUGAAACUCAAAGGAAUUGACGGGGGCCCGCACAAGCGGUGGAGCAUGUGGUUUAAUUCGAAGCUACGCGAAGAACCUUACCAGGUCUUGACAUACUAUGCAAAUCUAAGAGAUUAGACGUUCCCUUCGGGGACAUGGAUACAGGUGGUGCAUGGUUGUCGUCAGCUCGUGUCGUGAGAUGUUGGGUUAAGUCCCGCAACGAGCGCAACCCUUAUUAUCAGUUGCCAGCAUUAAGUUGGGCACUCUGGUGAGACUGCCGGUGACAAACCGGAGGAAGGUGGGGAUGACGUCAAAUCAUCAUGCCCCUUAUGACCUGGGCUACACACGUGCUACAAUGGAUGGUACAACGAGUUGCGAACUCGCGAGAGUAAGCUAAUCUCUUAAAGCCAUUCUCAGUUCGGAUUGUAGGCUGCAACUCGCCUACAUGAAGUCGGAAUCGCUAGUAAUCGCGGAUCAGCAUGCCGCGGUGAAUACGUUCCCGGGCCUUGUACACACCGCCCGUCACACCAUGAGAGUUUGUAACACCCAAAGUCGGU